GACGAACGCUGGCGGCGUGCUUAACACAUGCAAGUCGAACGGAAAGGCCCUGCUUUUGUGGGGUGCUCUAGUGGCGAACGGGUGAUUAACCCUUGAGUAACCUGCCCUUGACUUUGGGAUCACUUCAUGAAACUGGGGCUAAUACCUGAUAGGAGCUCCUGCUGCAUGGUGGGUGUUGUAAAGUUUCGUCGGUUGGGGAUGGACUCGCGGCUUAUCCGCUUGUUGGUGGGGUAGUGGCUUACCAAGGCGUUGACGGGUAGCCGGCCUGAGAGGGUGACCGGCCACAGUGGGACUGAGAUACGGCCAAGACUCAUACGGGAGGCAGAAGUGGGGAAGAGUGAACAAUGGGCGGAAGCCUGAUGCAGAAACGCCGAGUGCGGGAUGACGGCCUUCGGGUUGUAAACCGAUUGCGCCUGUGACGAAGAGUGAGUGACGGUAAUGUGUAAAGAAGCACCGGCUAACUACGUG
rnacentral:rRNA from 1 species